rnacentral:rRNA from 1 species
AUUGAACGCUGGCGGCAUGCCUUACACAUGCAAGUCGAACGGCAGCACGGGGGCAACCCUGGUGGCGAGUGGCGAACGGGUGAGUAAUGCAUCGGAACGUGCCCAGUAGUGGGGGAUAACCCGGCGAAAGCCGGGCUAAUACCGCAUACGACCUAAGGGUGAAAGCGGGGGACCGUAAGGCCUCGCGCUAUUGGAACGGCCGAUGUCUGAUUAGCUAGUUGGCGGGGUAAAAGCCCACCAAGGCGACGAUCAGUAGUUGGUCUGAGAGGACGACCAGCCACACUGGGACUGAGACACGGCCCAGACUCCUACGGGAGGCAGCAGUGGGGAAUUUUGGACAAUGGGCGCAAGCCUGAUCCAGCCAUGCCGCGUGCGGGAAGAAGGCCUUCGGGUUGUAAACCGCUUUUGGCAGGAACGAAACGGCGCAAGCCAAUACCUUGCGCUAAUGACGGUACCUGCAGAAUAAGCACCGGCUAACUACGUGCCAGCAGCCGCAGUAACAC